UGCCGAGGUAGCCAAGCGGCCUACGGCGCCGGUCUUGAAAACCGGUGGGACUUCGUCCCGCAGGAGUUCAAAUCUCCUCCUCGGCGU
rnacentral:tRNA from 1 species